rnacentral:tRNA from 1 species
GCAGGUAUUGUAUAACGGCUAUUACGCUACCUUGCCAAGGUAGAGAUGAGGGUUCGAUUCCAUCUACUUGCUCCA